CUGCUUCAGGUAUGUUCACAUAUCAUUAUUUUGAAAUAUUUGGUGGCAGUUUGUUUAAAUGUUUGUUGUUGACACAGACAAGAGUUGAAGACAUGGAAAUUGAGUUAUCGGAUAAUAAGGGCAUAAGAUUGUCCCAUUGUUCAAAUACAUUGAGAAAAUGAGAGCAACAACCAUACAAAUAAACAAGGAAAUCAAGCCAGCUGGCAGUUGCAACACUAUUAGGCCCUGAAAAGGAGAGAGAAAUCAACUGGUACUUACAGCCUGGACAUAAGGAGAAGCUGAUUGGACAGUUGACACCAAUUAUUCACAAGAUUUCAGAGAUUGUUUUACGUUGUGCUAUUAGUGUCUGUAAUGCAGGCAGAGGAAGGAACAUCAAACUUUUGAGGUACAACAGUUUCCCCACUCUGUCCCUUCUUUAAAAAAAAUUGUUACGGGCACCAAAAGAUUUAGGUUUUGGGAUAUGAGAGAUCAGUUAAAGCUAUUGAAGAAUUCAAGAGUUUUGCAGUAGAAGGCAAUGUUUAUGAAACCAUAUGUUCCAAGAUUGCCCCUUCCAUAUUUGGCUAUGAAUAUGUAAAAAAAGUUGUGGCAUGUCUCCUGUUUGGAGGAUCAAGGAAGGUAUAAUGCCAACUUUAACCUUGAAUAUUGUUGUCUGUACUUAAUCAUUUAUGAGCUCAUUUCCUCUAUUUCUACAAACUUUACUUGAUGGUGUAAGAUUGAGGGGUGAUAUUAAUGAUUUGCUCUUGGGAGACCAGAAGACAGGUUGGAUUAAAAAUUAAACAAGGUGUCUCUUAAUAGCAAUGUAAUAAUAGGUUAGAUAGUUAGGGAUUGUAUUUUAUGCAAUGGAUUGUAUUUUUUUAUAUGAUUAUUUGUAUGACAUUAAAUUUUAUGCAAUGGAUUGUAUUUUUUGUA